GCCCAGGUGGUGGAAUUGGCAGACACGCUAGAUUCAGGUUCUAGUGCGGGCAACCGCGUGGGGGUUCAACUCCCCCCUUGGGCA
rnacentral:tRNA from 1 species